rnacentral:rRNA from 1 species
GUGGGGAAUUUUGCGCAAUGGGGGAAACCCUGACGCAGCAACGCCGCGUGAGUGAUGAAGGCCUUCGGGUUGUAAAGCUCUUUUAGUGGGGAAGAAGCCCACCCGGACGAAUAAUCCGGGUGUCUGACGGUACCCACAGAAAAAGUUCCGGCUAACUACGUGCCAGCAGCCGCGGUAAUACGUAGGGAGCAAGCGUUGUUCGGAAUUAUUGGGCGUAAAGAGCGCGUAGGCGGUUCGGUAAGUCUGGUGUGAAAUCCCGGAGCUUAACUCCGGAACUGCAUUGGAUACUGCCGGGCUUGAGUGUGGGAGAGGAGAGUGGAAUUCCCAGUGUAGAGGUGAAAUUCGUAGAUAUUGGGAGGAACACCCGUGGCGAAGGCGGCUCUCUGGACCACAACUGACGCUGAGGCGCGAAAGCUAGGGGAGCAAACGGGAUUAGAAACCCCAGUAGUCC